CCUCCGAUAGCUCAGUUGGUAGAGCGCAAGACUGUAAUCGGGAGCAUCACGUCAUCUUGAGGCCGCUAGUUCGAUCCUGGCUCGGAGGA
rnacentral:tRNA from 1 species